CAGUAAAUUAGUUUAUUAAAACAUUAAAUUGCAAAUUUAAAAUUAAUUAAUAAAUCAACUUGAUGGUGAACUGU
rnacentral:tRNA from 1 species